GGAUCUGGGGUCCAGAAUGACCGUCCCAACAGCACCGAUCGCAUGCUGGAGACUGGCCAAGAUGAGACUUUGAAGAGGCAUCUAUGCAAGUUACAGCUCCUGCCUGGACAGGUGCUCUGCCUUCCCCCAUGGGGCGGGUUUGAGUAACCACUCACUGCACUACAGAUGUCCCUUGUUUAGCGAUCCACCUGGUUAACGACUGCUUAGACUUACCACCCACUGCUUGGACUUUCAAAUCAUCUUUUACUGUGCAGUGUGUACAUCAUGUUUGCAGAGCC
rnacentral:lncRNA from 1 species